GGGACUUGCUCCGGAUGUUAGCGGCGGACGGGUGAGUAACACGUGGGUAACCUGCCUGUAAGACUGGGAUAACUCCGGGAAACCGGAGCUAAUACCGGAUAGUUCCUUGAACCGCAUGGUUCAAGGAUGAAAGACGGUUUCGGCUGUCACUUACAGAUGGACCCGCGGCGCAUUAGCUAGUUGGUGAGGUAACGGCUCACCAAGGCGACGAUGCGUAGCCGACCUGAGAGGGUGAUCGGCCACACUGGGACUGAGACACGGCCCAGACUCCUACGGGAGGCAGCAGUAGGGAAUCUUCCGCAAUGGACGAAAGUCUGACGGAGCAACGCCGCGUGAGUGAUGAAGGUUUUCGGAUCGUAAAGCUCUGUUGUUAGGGAAGAACAAGUGCAAGAGUAACUGCUUGCACCUUGACGGUACCUAACCAGAAAGCCACGGCUAACUACGUGCCAGCAGCCGCGGUAAUACGUAGGUGGCAAGCGUUGUCCGGAAUUAUUGGGCGUAAAGGGCUCGCAGGCGGUUUCUUAAGUCUGAUGUGAAAGCCCCCGGCUCAACCGGGGAGGGUCAUUGGAAACUGGGAAACUUGAGUGCAGAAGAGGAGAGUGGAAUUCCACGUGUAGCGGUGAAAUGCGUAGAGAUGUGGAGGAACACCAGUGGCGAAGGCGACUCUCUGGUCUGUAACUGACGCUGAGGAGCGAAAGCGUGGGGAGCGAACAGGAUUAGAUACCCUGGUAGUCCACGCCGUAAACGAUGAGUGCUAAGUGUUAGGGGGUUUCCGCCCCUUAGUGCUGCAGCUAACGCAUUAAGCACUCCGCCUGGGGAGUACGGUCGCAAGACUGAAACUCAAAGGAAUUGACGGGGGCCCGCACAAGCGGUGGAGCAUGUGGUUUAAUUCGAAGCAACGCGAAGAACCUUACCAGGUCUUGACAUCCUCUGACAACCCUAGAGAUAGGGCUUUCCCUUCGGGGACAGAGUGACAGGUGGUGCAUGGUUGUCGUCAGCUCGUGUCGUGAGAUGUUGGGUUAAGUCCCGCAACGAGCGCAACCCUUGAUCUUAGUUGCCAGCAUUCAGUGGGCACUCUAAGGUGACUGCCGGUGACAACCGAGAGGUGGGAUGACGUCAAAUCAUCAUGCCCUUAUGACUGGGCUACCACCGUGCCUACCAUUGCACMGAAACAAAGGCCUGUUGCGCGAGGAC
rnacentral:rRNA from 1 species